rnacentral:pre_miRNA from 17 species
AUCUGUACUCUUUGGUUACAGUUGUUCAACCAGUUACUAAUCUAACUAACUGUAACCGGUUUAACAACUGAACGCAAAGGGUGCAAAGUGGAAAAAUU